rnacentral:misc_RNA from 1 species
GAUGAAGAACGUAGCGAAAUGCGAUACGUAAUGUGAAUUGCAGAUUUCAGUGAAUCAUCGAAUCUUUGAACGCACAUUGCGCCCGCCAGUAUUCUGGCGGGCAUGCCUGUUCGAGCGUCAUUUCAACCAUCAAGCCCCCGGCUUGUGUUGGGGACCUGCGGCUGCCGCAGGCCCUGAAAAGCAGUGGCGGGCUCGCUGUCACACCGAGCGUAGUAGCAUACAUCUCGCUCUGGGCGUGCUGCGGGUUCCGGCCGUUAAACCACCUUCAUAACCCAAGGUUGACCUCGGAUCAGGUAGGAAGACCCGCUGAACUUAAGCAUAUCAAUAAGCGGAGGA